AGGCAUAGAUAAAGAUCAAUGGGCUCGUUUUGUUCAUUAUCGUCAUAAACCAUCAACAUUGGAACUUUGUAGGAGAAAUAAAGAAAUUCGAAGCAAGCAAGUUAUUCCACACACUGGUGGAUUCAAAGCUAAUCCUAGAAGAAGAAAUGAGUUGUUGUUAGAAACUGGGAAGCUACCAAGUCGUGGACAAUUAUAUAUUGAAACUCAUAAAAGGAAAGAUGGAUCAUUUGUAAAUGAAGCAGCAAAGACUAUAGCGGAACAAAUUGAAGUAGGAUUGACUCAAAGCAUAGUUGAUGAAUCUGAAGUUUCUCCUCUUGAUGUUGUUGGUAGAGUGUUAGGGUUAGAGCACUCUGGGAGAGUGCGAUGCAUGAGAU